UCAAAUGUCCCUCAACAGACUGCUUACUCUCUCUCUUUAAAAUACAAAUUCCAUAGUUAAGUUCUAAAUCUAUACACAGUAGGAUUAACACAAGUUGGUGAAACAGCUGGGUCAGGUGGGUCAAGAAGGCUAUAGUAGUUGCACUUGGAGAAACAGGAAGAAAGAGGAGACAAUGAGAGAAGAUAGUGAGUCUGUGUGGGUUAGAUAUGCAUGUCUUAUAUGUAUACAUACAAACAUAGCAGAGAUACCCAUUAUUGCCUGGAUGCUGAAAUAUGUGGGAACAACAGUAAUUUCAAUGAGAAUGUGCUUGUACAAGACAAAGACACAUUCAGCACUGUGAAGGGGUGCUGAAAAGUUCCUGGUUUUAAGGGUGUCAUGAAAGGUCUGGUUGGAGGCCCAAUCUUCCGAGUUCUUUUACAGGGCUUAGAAAAACUGAAGGACAACUGCAAUAAGUGUGUGAAUCUGUGAGGGGAAUAUGUUGAAUAAAAUCAUAAUUAACUGA